rnacentral:rRNA from 1 species
GCGGCACUAGCGCGGUGGUCCCACCUGACCCCAUGCCGAACUCAGAAGUGAAACGCCGUAGCGCCGAUGGUAGUGUGGGGUCUCCCCAUGCGAGAGUAGGGAACUGCCAGGCA